GAUGAACGCUGGCGGCGUGCCUAAUACAUGCAAGUCGAGCGAACAGACGAGGCGCUUGCUCCUCUGACGUUAGCGGCGGACGGGUGAGUAACACGUGGAUAACCUACCUAUAAGACUGGGAUAACUUCGGGAAACCGGAGCUAAUACCGGAUAAUAUAUUGAACCGCAUGGUUCAAUAGUGAAAGACGGUUUUGCUGUCACUUAUAGAUGGAUCCGCGCCGCAUUAGCUAGUUGGUAAGGUAACGGCUUACCAAGGCAACGAUGCGUAGCCGACCUGAGAGGGUGAUCGGCCACACUGGAACGGAGACACGGUCCAGACUCCUACGGGAGGCAGCAGUAGGGAAUCUUCCGCAAUGGGCGAAAGCCUGACGGAGCAACGCCGCGUGAGUGAUGAAGGUCUUCGGAUCGUAAAACUCUGUUAUUAGGGAAGAACAAAUGUGUAAGUAACUAUGCACGUCUUGACGGUACCUAAUCAGAAAGCCACGGCUAACUACGUG
rnacentral:rRNA from 1 species